rnacentral:rRNA from 1 species
UACAGAGGUCUCAAGCGUUGUUCGGAUUCAUUGGGCGUAAAGGGUGCGUAGGCGGCGCGGUAAGUCGGGUGUGAAAUCUUGGAGCUUAACUCCGAAACUGCAUUCGAUACUGCCGUGCUUGAGGACUGGAGAGGAGACUGGAAUUUACGGUGUAGCGGUGAAAUGCGUAGAUAUCGUAAGGAAGACCAGUGGCGAAGGCGGGUCUCUGGACAGUUCCUGACGCUGAGGCACGAAGGCCAGGGGAGCAAACGGGAUUAGAGUACCCC